AAAGGAAUUGACGGGGACCCGCACAAGCAGCGGAGCAUGUGGUUUAAUUCGAAGCUACGCGAAAAACCUUACCAAGACUUGACAUCGCUUGCAUAGCCCCGAAAAGGGUGAAAAAAUAGCAAUAUUUCAAGCAGACAGAUGGUGCAUGGUUGUCGUCAGCUCGUGUCGUGAGAUGUUAGGUUAAGUCCUAUAACGAGCGCAACCCUUGUCAGUAGUUGCCAGCAUUAAGUUGGGCACUCUACAGAGACUGCCGUAGAUAAUACGGAGGAAGGUGGGGAUGACGUCAAAUCAUCAUGCCUCUUACGUCUUGGGCUACACACGUGCUACAAUGGCCGCCACAAAGAGUCCCGAACCGGUAACGGGGAGGCAAUCUCAAAAAAGCGGUCUCAAUUCGAAUUGAGGGCUGCAACUCGCCCUCAUGAAGUCGGAGUUGCUAGUAAUGGCGAAUCAGCAUUGUCGCCGUGAAUGCGUUCCCGGGUCUUGUACACACCGCCCGU
rnacentral:rRNA from 1 species